rnacentral:lncRNA from 1 species
UCGCCACUUGCCACUUGCUUCUAUGGGUAUGUCAUGCAUGCGUGCAAAUGCUCUACUAAUAAAUGAGUGCGUGGCACCCGUAUCGAACAUAGCUCUGGAGCGAACUCCAUUGAUUAGAACCAUACCUGCCACAACAUCAGGCUCUUCGGCUUGGAUAGGCUCCUCGGCGUGGGCCUGAGCGGCGAAUACUCGUCCGCUCGGCGCUGAUCGAGUCACCUCCGGCUGGCGCGGCGC